GCAAGCUCUGUGCAUAAAGCGAUUCUUGAAUAUUAUGAUAAUUAUGAUGCUAUGAUGAUAUUUUUAACGAUAUAUUCAUGUUUAUACUUUUCACAUUCAAAGACCAAAACUAUCUAAUUAUUCUUCUUUUUGGAGUAAAGGGUAUCUGUCAAUAUUGCUUUGGAUUUUAGACCCCACAAUCCGUGUUUCUGUUCCACUAUCCUGUGCCGAGGAGAGAGAAGGUUCAAGAACAAGCCAAAAUUGUCUGCAAUUCAAAAUAAUCCAGUUGUGACUUGAGUUUUUUCUUACAACUUUAAGUGAGAGUUUCGCAGAUGAAAGGUAAGAUUUUGGCAUUUGGGUUCUUCCUUGUUUCUGUUUUGAUGAUGCCAGUGUUGAUACAUCUACUACAGUGAUCGUAGGGAUUUUUCUUUUUUUCAGUUUAUUGAUAGAAGUUCAAAGAUUAUAUUUACUUUGAAUUGGUCAUCUGGGCAUUGCUUAAAACUUAUUUGAUGACGUGGGUUUUGCGUUUGAAGUGAUUUCGUGACGAUGGGUUUUUGCUUUGGAAGUGAUUCGUUAUGUGGAUUUUAGCUGAAAAUCCAUUAUGCGAUCAGGGUUUUAGUUAGAAACGUUCUCGGUGAUCUGGGUUUUGCUAAAUAACCAGAAGAGUGAUUAGAUUUUUGCUCUAACUUAGCUGGUGAAAGUUGUUGGACUCCAAAAAGAGGUUUCUGUGCUGUAAAGAAUGAACGUUUGGUGAUAUCAGGCUUUUUGUUGGUGAAGUUUGGUGAUUUGGAUAUCUGUCAUAUUUGUAAGUUUUGUUCCAGUUGAAAUUGAUCACUGAAUUCUGUUUGAAAUUUUGUUUCCGCACUGAAUAAAUCAAGAUAAAAAAUUUUGGUAUGUGAAUUUUACGACUUGAAGUUGAAAGUUAGAAACUUGGAAUGGCGACUACAUCGCCACCCUCAAAUUCACCCACUUCUGCUGUUCCUCCAGUUUCGACCACUUCACCACCACCAUCCACCUCUAGUUCACCGCCAUCCGCCAUCAGUUCACCACCACCAUCCUCCAUCAGUCCACCACCACAACCAUCCUCUCCACCACCAGACACUAUUCCUACGACUUCUCCACCUUCACAGUCCAAUGCCAAUCCAACGGACCCUCCCACCCCUUCAACUCCAUCAGCACUUCCUCAAUCUCCUACUUCUGCUGUUGUUGCAAAUCCGCCUUCUACACCAUUAAACUCACCACCUCCAACUUCACCUUCUCCACCUUCAACCAAUGCUGAUCCUCCAACCUCCAAUUCUCCACCACCGCCAUCACAAUCCGCAAGUCCACCCACAAGCUCAUCUCCUCCUGCACCGCCAUCUAAUCCACCAACUUCUCCACCACCUCCAUCCAAUCCGCCAACUUCUCCAUCACCACCAUCCAAUCCAUCUACAAGUUCUCCUUCUUCUCCACCACCAUCACUAACACCACCAGCAAAUUCACCUCCACCAACUUCAAAUCCAUCUCCCACACCACCGCCACCGUCAUCAAAGCCACCUGAAAAUUCA
rnacentral:misc_RNA from 1 species